AGUGAACGCUGGCGGUAGGCCUAACACAUGCAAAUCGAACGGCAGCACAGUAAGAGCUUGCUCUUACGGGUGGCGAGUGGCGGACGGGUGAGGAAUACAUCGGAAUCUACUUUUUCGUGGGGGAUAACGUAGGGAAACUUACGCUAAUACCGCAUACGACCUACGGGUGAAAGCAGGGGAUCUUCGGACCUUGCGCGAUUGAAUGAGCCGAUGUCGGAUUAGCUAGUUGGCGGGGUAACGGCCCACCAAGGCGACGAUCCGUAGCUGGUCUGAGAGGAUGAUCAGCCACACUGGAACUGAGACACGGUCCAGACUCCUACGGGAGGCAGCAGUGGGGAAUAUUGGACAAUGGGCGCAAGCCUGAUCCAGCCAUACCGCGUGGGUGAAGAAGGCCUUCGGGUUGUAAAGCCCUUUUGUUGGGAAAGAAAAGCAGCAGGUUAAUACCCCGCUGUUCUGACGGUACCCAAAGAAUAAGCACCGGCUAACUUCGUG
rnacentral:rRNA from 1 species